UGUUGAUUUAAGCAGAGUCUUGUUGCCAACGGAAGGAUGAGGAAAAUGUGCUGCAUACUCUAUAUUGCUUUUAUUUACAGUUCAAAGCUGGUAUAUUACAGAAAGACAUCUUGCCUCUGCAAGAGCAGAAAAAUGCAUCCUCUCUCCUCUCUCAGCUCGGAGAGAAUCACACAGUGAAAAAACAGGAAACCAGUGUACGUCACAUCCAGUCUCCCUUUCCCGUGAGAAACUCCAACAGUACAGACUGUGGAAUGUAAAACAAUGUCUUGUGACUGCAGUUGCUGCUCAGUGAGGGAAUAGAAACCAACAUCCUCCCCCUUUCUGUGAACAUCACUGGGCAGCGUGUUCGUACAGUAUCAGUACAAACCCAACUUCUGCACAUAGGUACAGUGUUGAUCCCUUGAUACAAUCUUGGACAAUACAUCAGCAGGAAUUUCAUUACCUGGCAUAUAGGACACCGUUACGAGUCCCUUCUGAAUACAUUCCCUAGCAUGCUGCAACUUUAAUUGCAAGUGCUUUGUGCUUUACUUACAACCUUCAGACUUCAGCAAAGCCAAACAUGCUUUGUUGUCCUGGUAAACCUGGAUUGGACAUUUGACAGGAAUUUUCAUAUCUUUGCACAAUUGUACUAACCAUUCACAAUCCUUAAGUGAAUAAGACAGUGCAUUCAGUUCAGCUUCACAAGUACUUAAGCUAACUGUUGUUUGCUUCUUGCAUGACCAAUCAAACAGACUCUGAUUGUACAUAUAGCAAACUCCAGACGUACUUUUCCUGUCUGUAGUGUCACUUCCAAAACUUGCAUCUGCAAAUAUCUCAAGACCACCAGACUUCUGAUUGUUAAAUCUCAGUCUGUAAUGCAUAGUGCCUUUCAAAUACCGCGCUAUGCGUUUCAGAACUUUCAAUCCUUGACACUAGGAUUGUUGACUUGUCUGCUUAGCAAAUUACAGCUAACAGCAAUGUCUGGUCUUGAACAUCUGGCAAUGAAGUUUAGCUUGCCUAGCACACUCCUGUACAGUGUAGUGUCAGAAAAUGCUUCUUCAGUGUCAUCUACCUGAUAACCUGUUGUCAUCGGUGUGUCUACAGGGUUAGCAUCCAUCAGAUUUAGUUUGCUUAACACAUCAGCAAUUUUCCGUGACUGGUGUACUAGAAUGUUACCAUCUUGAUCUCUCUCUAUUUCCAGAGAUAGGUAGUUGUUUACCUCACCAAGAUCUUUCAUGUCAAAGUGCUCUUUCAGUUGAGCUAGGGCGCUAUUGUACAUUGCAACAUCUUUCCAAAAGAAUAAUAAAUCAUCAACAUAAAACAAACAGUACAGUUUCUUUUGCCCCUCCUCUUUGACAAAUACACAUGGAUCAGCUUUCCCUUGCUGAAAACCUAGAGAAAACAAUACUUCAGUGAGUUUUGUGUGCCAACACCGUGCACUUUGUUUGAGACCAUAAAGGGAUUUCUUCAGAGCACAAACAAAUCCCUGUUUUACCUGUACGCCAUCAGGUGGAAGCAUAUAAAGUGAUUCAUCUAGAGAUCCGUACAGAAAAGCUGUAUUAAUAUCAUGGUGACUAAUGUGUAGAUUUUCCUCUGCAGCUAGCUUGAGCAUAAGCCUAAUGCUUUCAUAUCUCACUGUGGGUGAAUAGGUCUCGUGAUAGUCUUCACCUGGUACCUGUGCAAAACCUCUGGCUACCAAUCUGGCUUUGUGUCUGACUAUCUUGCCAUUUUGAUCUGUCUUCGCUUUGAAGACCCAUUUGCUUCCAAGCAGUUUCAUUCCUGGAACUACUGGAACUAGCUCCCAUGUUUUGUUCCUUUCUAAGGAAUCAAGCUCAGCCUUCAUGGCAUUUAACCAUGGCUCAGCUUCCUUUGAAUCCAAACCCUGGAUUUCUUGGAAACUUGAAGGUUCAAAUACCUUCUUGGAGCUUUUAACAGCUGUUACUGCUAUCUUAGCAAACUCAUCAGCAAAUCUCUUUGGAGGUUUGCCUUUUGUAGCUCUCUGUGACCUACGAAUUAGCCUUAAGUCUUCAACACUCUCCUCUUCCUUCUUAGGAGAAAAACGACCUAUUGUGAACAAUGGUUCCUCCAAUUCUUGAUCAGAGCUUUCAGAGGGUCGCAUAGAGGCUUUCGCACUCUUGAAAUCCUCUGAAUCACCCGAUUCAGUUUCAGAUUCAGACUCAGAACCUUCAUCAGUGGGUGUGGGCUGUUGUGGUUGCUUUGACUAUCCUCAGUCUCAUCACCGUCAUCAGGAUAACAUUGGAAAAUUCCCACAUUCUCCCCCACUUUGCAUUGUACUCAACACUUCUCGUGAGCUUAAUUGUCUUAGAGUCAGUCAUCAUUAUUCUGUAAGACCCUUUCUGAUAACCUAGAAAGAUACCAUGCAAUCCACGCUUGUCUAACUUGGAGUUUUGUGGUGAGUGAACCCACAUGUCAGAACCAAAAAUCUUCAUGUGUUUGAUGUAUGGCUUCUUGCCAAACAUCUUCUCAUAGAAGUACAACCAAUCGCUGAAGAUAGCCUGCGAUUGUAACUGUAAACAAAACACGAGAGAGAUUCGGCCCAAUAACUCUCUGGAAGAUUGGCAUCAUGCAGCAAGGUUUUUAAACCUUGAAGCAAUGUCUGAUUUGCCCGUUCCGCAAGUCCAUUCUGCCAUGGCGAGCGAGGACUAGACAAAUCGUGUUGAAUUCCUUUCUCAGUCAGAAAAGCUUCAAACUGCUGAGAAGUGAAUUCCCCCCCGCGAUCACUGAAAAGAGUCUUUAUCUUCUUACCAUGCACAUUUUCCAACCAAGCACAGAAUUCCUUGAACCUAGGAAAAGCCUCUGAUUUCUGCUUGAGAUUGUACAC
rnacentral:lncRNA from 1 species